CAGAUACUUAAUAUGGGGAAAAGGGGGAAUGUUUCUGUUUUUUCCACAGAAUGCUACAAGAGCAUGCUAGCUUCCAAUGUGACAGGCUGACCUGUGACCUGUGAGUGCCCUGACAGUGGUGACCAGAAAGCUGUGUUGAGUACACAAAAGAGGAGAAAUCGGAGAGCAUCCACUUACAAACAGAUAAAGAAACUUUGUAUCUCCACCAUGGGCUGCAGCAAGGAGUACCAACCUGGUGCCAACUUAAAAUACAAACAACUAAAAAAGCUGACUCGUGAGGCAAAAAGACUGGUACAGAGAAUGUACAAGAUGCUUUCGUCAGAGACACUGUUUUUGGCCAUUCAGGCUAGCUCCUUAUAGCUAUAAAAGCGUGUACCUUACCUAUAUGCUUAUUGUUAGAUAAUUUUAAGAGUUAAGAUCGCCAAUCUUGGCAAGUCUUUUCAUAUUCAUUGCAAUUCUUGUCAAUUAACUAAUUAUGUAAAUCCUAAUUUAGAUAAGAAAUCUACUGUUAUGUUUUUGUUAGAGACCUGCUUAUGUUUUGCUGCCUAUUAGAGUUAGGAAAUGAUCCUUGGUUUUAAAAUCUGAAAAUGCAAACUUUAAAAAGGUAUCUACCACAGCUUUAGAUCAGCAGCUACAUACUGCCCAUUUUGCUAAUGAUAAGCAUAGAAAUAUUUCCAUAGCUUUGUCAGAGCAACAUAUUAUAUAGAUAAAAAGAUGUCUUAGAAGUAGUAGUCUUAGUAAGAAGACAGGAUAUAACAUACAUUAAGGCUAGAAAGGUGGAAAUUUUAGACAUAGCCAAGCCUUGACCGGUGUUCCACUGUCCUAGAAAGUCCUUGAGCAGACCAUGGGCUUAAAAUUCAGGAAGAAAGUUGCCUGUUCAGUGACAUUCAGAAUUGCCUCUGGCAUUACACUAUCACUUUAAUAAAAGCUAGGUCAUUGCCUUACACAAGAAUUUAGCAUCAACUAGGAAAAAGGAAGUUUAAGACCUAAAGAGGAACCAGAGUAGAUACUUAGAACUGUAGAUAGCUGAGUUACACCCAUACACAAGUAUUUACAAUGGCCUAGAGGAAAGGUGAACUACCAAAACUGGUUUUCAACCUCCCCCUGGCUUUCGACCUUGGUGUCCUCCCUUUUGGGGCCCCUAUUGGGACUCCUACUAUUGAUUUCCUUCGGUCCUUGGGCAUUUCAGAAAUUGACCUGAUUUGUUAAAUCUCAAGUUGAUUCAUCUCUUUCAAGUGCUUUUGUUUCAGUUCAUUACCAUCGGCUGGACGUUGGCGAUAACAAGCAGGUUACUGGAAAAGAGGCAGACGUGGAUACCGCUUCAUCACCCUCUUCUCGGGGAGAGAGACUCAAUUUCCAUAAAAUGCUUAAGUAAGAUCAUUCCCCUCCCCCUAAAUUCGGCCAUCAGUCUCAUGCCACAAAUCAUUUAUAGAUUGCCGUAGUCUGUGCUUCCGACAUGGUAAUAUACGUUCUCGCCACAUUGAAAACUAAACAGUCAUCCCAGGCUAGACACAUCAAAAAAUUAAAACUUGAAGCCGUCGCCCGUGAGAGUUGUAAGACUAAGUACUGCACAGAGAUUAGUCUAAAAGCUGUUAGACAGUCUCUGAGAGGCAUGUCUGAUUGCAUAAAGGUUGAGUGCCCCAGGGACCUUUCCCCAGAAAAAACGGCACAGGAGCAGGUCAGAGUUACUCUGGGUAAAAAUCUGUGGGCCUGAGAGUCAAUCCUGUACAUGGCCCCUAACAUUACACACUGGGGAUCAGACCUCUACCUCUACCCACGGAGCUUGCUUCAUUCCUAAUUCCCUUGGCUAGCCCAAGUUAUAUCCAAAAGACUGGAACCAUUAAUUCAAGCCUCAUAGAUGACUUGUCCUUGUGUCCUUCGUGGUUUUAGAGAAUCAUCCGGUGAACAAACAGACGUUUAGGUGAUCUUUAAAAACGUGGCUACAAAUUUAUUAUACAAUAUGCCUUUAUAAAAAUAUUAAAACGGGGGAGAUGUUGGGAGCCAUUAAGGCAACGCUAUUGUCCUGAUCUCUGAAUUGGGCCUCUCCCCCCCGAGAAGAAAAGAGGGUCAAAAGCGGGCCACCGACACAUGGAUUCCGAGAACCACGGGAGGUUCCAGCCCUAGGUCAUCACCGUUGUCCUGACCACACCCUGAUACCACCAAGUUCCUGCUUCCCGGUGUAGCUGUCAAAAGAAAGAAUUUCUAUUGCCCCCCCUCCCAUAAGUACUUCUCCUUUUGCUUGUAUUGCCCUACCCCUCCCACUGAUAAGUAUCUGUACUUCCCCCUUUGCUUGUGCAUUUAAACCUUGGACCUUUCUCAGUACAUUGGGGUCUUGAUACAA
rnacentral:lncRNA from 1 species